GGGCCCGCACAAGCGGUGGAGUAUGUGGUUUAAUUCGAUGAUACGCGAGGAACCUUACCAGGGCUUAAAUGUAGUAUGACCGGUCUAGAAAUAGGCCUUCUCUUCGGAGCAGAUUACAAGGUGCUGCAUGGUUGUCGUCAGCUCGUGCCGUGAGGUGUUAGGUUAAGUCCUGCAACGAGCGCAACCCCUAUUCUUAGUUGCCAGCGGUUCGGCCGGGGACUCUAAGAAGACUGCCAGCGCAAGCUGAGAGGAAGGUGGGGAUGACGUCAAAUCAUCACGGCCCUUACGUCCUGGGGCUACACACGUGCUACAAUGGUACAGACAGAGGGCAGCCACCUGGCGACAGGGAGCGAAUCCUUAAAACCGGUCUC
rnacentral:rRNA from 1 species